rnacentral:lncRNA from 1 species
GCACCUGCAGCAUAUGGAAGUUCCCAGGCUAGAGGUUGAAUCAGAGCUGCAGCUGCCAGCCCACCCCACGCCCACAGCAAUGCGGGAUCCGAGCCGCAUCUGUGACCUGCACCACCACUCACGGCAACACCAGAUCCUUAACCCCCUGAGCAAAGCCAGGGAUCGAACCCGUGUCCCCAUGGAUAUUAGUCGGGUUUUUUUCCACUGAGCCAUGAUGGGAGCUCCAGCCGUGAGACAUUUUUAGUUUGAACACAGAACGGGCUCUGAAGUUGGGUACAGGCUGAGGUGUAAAUUAAGUCCUUGGCAUGGAAGACCAGCUGGUUAUAACAUUGGGAAGUGUAUCUUCAAGCAGUAAAUGGGGUAACUAACAAGCUGUAGACAGCCAGCUAUCCCAUGAACGUGGGUGGGGUCUCCAGGGAGACACGUUGGGGAGACUCUGGAGAAUUCAAGGCACAUGAACUCCUGAACUAACCAGCCUGGGGGUGUUCUCCACUGCUGAGGGGCCUAGUUCAUCAUCUGCCCACAGGCCAGAAGGGUCCACACUCUAUGCCUGCAAUCCACAGGCUACCUCAUUUCUCACAUCUGAUGUGGACCCCAAGAACAGGCAUCAUGAUGACGCAUGUGUUGCAAUGAGCUCCCUGUUUGCAUCAUCAUCCAUGAGAAUGAGCAGGGUUUAUUGGCAGCAGAGCACCGGGGUGAAGGGAUGCUUCUGCAGCAAGGGAGCAGUGCAGCAUGGGGAGGUGUCACUAAAGAUGGCUGAUACCUGUCUCCUGAGAGGCGCAGGUGGGUUUGAAAAGAAGAUGGCUUAACCACUAGCUGCCCAGGUAUUCAGCUCACCUAGACAUGCCCACCUAGGAAGGUGAAUUGCCCAAGGGCAGUGUCCUACAAACUGGGCUGGAAUUGGAGGGUUUCAUCGUUAACGUCGGGCAAGUUUAUUCCACUUCUGCUCUUCUGAGAGAGAGUGCUGUUUUUCUUCCAGCAGAGACAGGCAGAGACAGCAUGGGAUCCAGGACCAAGAAUAGGGAAGUUUUUUAGCAAUCACGGGGAGUCGUAGGAAAUAUUCGAGAAACCCUAAUUAAUUCAGAAAAGAAUUUCGAUGCUUUUUUUUUUUUUAACUUUUCAGAGCUGCACCCAGGGCAUAUGGAAGUUCCCAGGCUGGGGGUCGAAUCAGAGCUACAGCUGCUGGCCUACCCCACCGGCCACAGCAACGCAGGAGCCAAGCCAUGCCAAGCCAUGCCUACCCCCACAGCUCACUGCAGCACCGGAUCCUUAACCUACUGAACAAGGCCAGGGAUCGAACCCGUGUCCUCAUGGAUACUAGUUGAAUUUGUUACUGCUGAGUUACAACUGAAACUCCUUGAUGGCUUCUUGAUAGCUUAAACUAUAAGGAAAGAAUAGAAGAAAAGAUUUCAUCAUUCUGCUUGGGAGAAAAAUGUACCAGUGUGAGGCAUAGUUAAUGUAAAUAAUGAGCAAAUAAUUCUUAAAGUUGGCUCUUAACUCUUGUUCUAUUGUAAUUCUUUUCGUAUUUUACAUGAUAAUGAGAAACACUUGUAUAGUAUUUUCUCUGUGCCAGGCAUUCCUGUAGGUGCUUUAUGAUGUCCCAUUUAUUUGAUCUUCCUAGCAGCUCUAAGAGGGAGGUAGUAUUUUGUCCCCUGUUUUACAGUUGAGGGCAAUAAGGCACUGAGAGGUCAAAUGAAUUGGCUAUGCCCUUGAGCUUGGCUCUGGCUGCAUAGCCUGUGUGAUGGCCCAUCCUGCUGUCUUGCUUCUCAUCCUCUAAAUGGAUGCUGUGGUCCAAAGUAGGAGUGUAUUCCUUCUGAGAGAUCCAUUGCUUCCUAGAACAGAUCAGUCCCUCAUUCCAUCCUCACAUGGUAAAGAUUUAUAACACUUAACUGUCUGCUAGGCUGGCUCAGGCACAAGUGACAGUGGGUCGUUCUUAAACGGACAGCACUAAUGGCUAUAUCCAGAUUGGGACCCGAACCCACGUGCCGGGACUCAAACCCAGCCUACACCCAGAUUGGGGCUUGAACCCACGGUUCUUAAAUAGAAUCACUCACCUGGUGUCUGGACUUACUGAGGUUCAGGUUUUUUAUGCCUCUGUGCAGGAGGAAUUCAGCGAGAGACAAAGUGAUAGGCAAGGAAUAGAUUUAUUAAGAAAGGAGGCUUGUGAGAGAUGCAAGCGGGCAGGCAAGGAAGCUCUGCCCCAAGGAUCCAGAGGGCUACAGUUUUAUAAUCGAAGGGGAGUGGGGGUGGGAAAAGGCCACCUCUUCCUCUUUCUUGGAGUCGUAGCUCCUCCUUGGUGUCUGAUAAGGGUAUUUGACCCUGUAAGGUCAGACUAGGGCUGUCGUGAUGCUUAUUCAAGUCAGCAGAAGGGUGGUCCUCAAACUCCUGCCCUUGGUCUGAACCUGAAUGCAGGCCUCACCCAUUCCCCACCCAAUGACCUGAGGCGUGUCUCGAGCCUCCACUCGCCCAGCAAGCCUGCCUUGUUCCGAUGGCCGAUGGCCGUCUGGAGCAGUCAUUAACUUACAACGAUCGCCCAAAGUCCCCGAGGUUUCCCUCUAUCUGUGGUCCCUUAUUGGCACUUCUACAGCCACCUGUGCCUGCUCCCUGUCAGUUAUGGCAGCAGUGUUGGGCGAGGUGCAGGAAGCUCCAGCUGUGAGAAGUCACCUCCAGUGACCUGACUUCAGCCCGGAACAGCAGACCUAUUUCCCAAGGGUGGGACCUGAUCCCUGAGCUCACGAGACAGGUGUAGCAAAUCAGAGCCAGUGCAUUCAUUUAUAGUGAGAACUGUAUCUGCCUAGCAGUGGUUUGAUGAACUUGGAAUUGGGAAGGGGCGGGUCGGAUGAUUGGAAUGAGUGCAUUGGAAAAAUCAGUUGCCAUUGUCACUGAGACCCCAACAGCCAGGGUUAAUGCUGCCAGUGCACUGGGCUCAUCCUAGAAAACGGUCUCAGCUUCGUGAAAACCUGCAAGGCCUCCAGUACCCCGACCUCCCAUUCCCAUUUCCGCCCCUCCCUCCCUUUCAAAAGGACUCGAAGUUCUUUAGAUAUGUUAACGCCGCCCACCCUGCAGGCUGGGAACUGGGUGGUCUCUGUCUUUGGGACUUUGUUGAUCUGUACUCCGUCUAGGGGAAGGACAGUUUUUUUCUGUUCGGGCCGAUGGGGUGUAUAGGACUGAGUGGAGACGAGAUCCCCCGAGGGUGACUCAGAGCUGGAAAUGACCAGAGAUGCUGGGUUACGGGCAAACUCAAAGGCCUGGCCUCCUUCCGCAGGUCCCCUGGGCUCCUCCUGGUUCCGCUGCUCUCUCCUCGGAGGAGGUAACUCACAUGCUGCCUUACAGUCUCAUCAUUUUUGACUUAAAAUGAGUGGUACCAAGCCAUCGCGGGUCCAGUUCUGUGUGCAGGGAGGAUGGGUCUCAGAGGCCUCAGAGGAGGGAUGGAGGACGCAGUUGCUGCUCUGAGGGGAGGGAGGGCCCUGGCUGAGGGGUGACCCUGGGCAGGGGGCCUGCUUGGGGCCGGAGGAGGGCUGGAGCUUUGGCUGUGCUCUCAUACUUCAUUCAAGGCUGCCUUUUCCGCAGUGUCCAGUCUUCUCCCCAUGUGUCCAGCCCUAACGUAGCUGGGACACCUGGGCCCACUCUCGCUCUGUCUGUAUUGCUGCAGCUUCAUCAGCAUCUCCUGAACCAUAAAUAACAUCAAAGGAAAGGGCCGGUCACCGACCAAGAGCUUGUGGCUGAAAGGUGACCUACGGCAGAGUCCCACAGUUGCCCACUCACAAGGGUCGGACCCUCCGCUCUGCUGUGGACUGAAGUAGGGCUCCCUCUGCUCCAUGGGUUUGAAUUGUUCCCUUCUCUCCAAGCCCUACCAGGAAGCUCUUGCAGCAGCCAGAGGUCAGAUGGGCACACCUGGAUCAGAGGAGGGGGUGGCCCUUUCCUUCCUUGCUUUAGUGGGGGUGGGCAGGACAAGAAGCUGAACUGGUGAGGCAGGAUGGCGCCCUGGCUCAGAGCCCCUUGGGGCAGAAUGCUGGGUUCGCUGUCGCAGCUCUGUGGCCUCUUAGCCAAGUCACCUUUGGCAGGUCGUUUUAACCUGCUGGGGGCCCACACCCCUCAUCUGUAAUAGGGGGACAACAGUACUGCCUUGAAGGGCAGUUGGCUGGCAGAGGAGAUGGCCCAUGAGCUGGAUGUAGGCUCUAUAAGGCCAGAAGCCUAUUCAGUGUGGGGUAGAGAGGAAGGGGCCUCUUUAAGAAAAGAAUGGAAGAUUACACAUGACAAAUAUGAAACCAGGUAUCAGGGUAAGCAUUUAUUUCAAAUGAUGAAAGAAAACACAAAAAGGUAUAUGAUUAUAAAGCCGACAUCCCAAACAUCAUGAAAUUGAAACAAAAUAACAUAUUAUUAUUAAUCAGCUGUUAAACACACAGUCUGUGUUACUUUUCUUCCUGCGUUUUUAGGGCUGCUUACUCUUUGAUCAUUUCUUCAUCUGACAAGGAUUUGGGAAUGCCGUUUUCUCUCUAGAGAAUAGCAAGAUAAUUGACCAAUUCUUCCAGCAUGAUUGGUUGGGAUUUGCUUUUUAUUAUUGAUAGUUUAGAUGAUUUUUUUAGCUUCACAACUGGUUGCCGGUAGUGCCAUGUAAAUUUUUAGGAUUAUUGUCAAAUUUGGGGAACCUCUUUCAAGUUUCCUUCAAUAUAGGAACUAUAAGGUUACAUUUCGUAUUAAGUUUUUUUGUGUGUGCAGUGUCUAAUCUUAAAUACGAAAGAUACCCGUUCAGUACAUUUCUGGGGUCCUUCCUAGGGCUGUGGAAGGGGCCUUUGUGAGCAAGGGGUCCUGGGACUUAAGCUUCUGUAUUUCCUGGUAAAUUCUCCUGUGAGUACUCAAUGAAUGUUACCUCAAUCCUAUUUUAUUAUAUUUAUUGGCACUCAUCUUUUUAAUUCUGUAGUUUUAUAUUUACCAAACAAUGAAUUCUCAUCGACACUAAAUAGAAUCUUAAUUUAGUUAAAUUUGUGCCACAGUCAUUCAUUCAGUAUCAUUUGUUGACUGUCCACUUUGAUCAACCUACCUCCGGUUGAUCAUUGGGAGCCUUCGAUGACAUAAGGCAGGUAACAUACAGCUAAGUGUCUAAAUGUAGCAGCUGCACAGUAAACUUGGCUACUAAGACCAUCACCACCUUGGGGGUAUCAAGUGGACAGAGUGUCCUUCUGGGAGGUUGGCAUGAGCCCCGCUUCGGUCACACUCUGAGACUUGAGUGGGAGUCGUGGAUUGUCUAAGAUGCUAGAUGGAGGUGGCCUCCCCUCUAGCCACGAAUUCUUCAUAGUUAAUCUCCACUCCUGAAUUCUCCCUUCAUCAGUAAUGCUCUAUUAAUAUGACCAAAUUUAUACAUGAGGCCAUCCUUUUAAAGUGCUCAGGGAUAAUGUUGAAUUUCAUAUUUUUUCCUAAGUCCAGCCACUAAAUUUGUCAAAAUAGUUUUCUCUAUUUUUUUUUUAAUGGAAGUCGAGUUGAUUUACAAUGUUGUGUGAGUUUUAGGUGUCUAGCACAAUGAGUCAGUCAUAUAUAUAUAUAUAUAUACACACACACCACACAUGUGCAUGCACACACACACACACGCACACUGUCUUUCUCAUAUUCUUUUCCCUUAUAGGUUUUGACAAAAGAUUGAGUAUAGUUCCCUGUGCUCUACAGGAGGUCCUUGUUGGUUCUCUACUUUAUGUAUAGUGUGUGUAAAUGGUAAUCCCAAACUCCUAAUUUAUCUCACCUCCACUUCCUCUUUGACAACGUAAGUUUUUUUUCUAUGUCUGUGGGUAUAUUUCCAUCUUGUAAAUAAGUUCUUUUUCUGUUUUUUCUUUUUUUUUUUUUAGUUUUCUCAAUUUUGUAAUUUUUAAAAGUUCAUUUUUAUUUUAUAUUGGAGUCCAGUUGAUUUACAAUGUCAUGUUAGUUUCAGGUAUACAGCAGUGACUCAAUUAUACAUUGACAUAUAUCCAUUCUUUUUCAGAUGCUUCCCAUAUAGCUUAUUAUGGACUAUUGAGUUGAGCUUCCUGUGCUACACAGUAGGUCCCUGUUGAUCAUCUCUCUGUAGUGUGUCUAUUUUGUAAUGUUAUGGUCUUUCUUCUGGGAAGAAAUAUCCGUGGACAAGGAGUUAAGAAGUUGGAUCUGCUGCUAACUGGGUGGGGAUCUGGCGGGAUGCUCUGGGAUACAAAUGACAGAAAAUCCAGCUCAGUGUCCACACAACAGAGGAAAUAUGUCAGGUUCUUGCACUGAGUCCUACUGGACUUGACUAUUCGUCAACACCAGUCUGACACCCCUGGAGCUGAUGACAGGGUCAGACCUGCCCAAACCACAAGGCUGGGAAAUCUGGGGUGCUGUUAGGAAGGGAGAGACUAGCCACCAGAGAGGACACUUACCAGUGUGUGCGUUCUGACAUGUAGCCCUCAGUCACUUUGCUUCUCUGGGCCUCAAUUGUCCCAUUAAAUUAGGGGCUUGUCUGAAUCCAUGAGUGAUGUCCUUCCUAAGGGCAGCCUUUAUGAUUAUUUAUUUAUUUAUUAUCUUUUUUGGUCUGUACCCAGGGCAUACAGAGGUGUUCAGGCUAGGGGUCGCAUCAGAGCUGUAGCCGCCGGCCUACACCAGAGCCACAGCAACGCCAGAUCCAAGCCACAUCUGCGACCUACACUGCAGCUCAAGGCAACACCAGAUCCUUAACCCACUGAGUGAGACCAGGGAUCGAACCCACGUUCUCAUGGUUACUAGUCGGGUUCGUUACUGCUGAGCCAUGAUGGGAACUCCGAUUUUAUUUUUAUUAAUUAGUUUUUGUAGGGAAUAAACAGACCUUUCCUGGCCAGUGCUGUAAAGCCAAGAAAACAAAUAGCUCUGUUGAGAGUAAGCGCUAAGUCAGGGCAGUCAGCCUUAGGAACUUUCUUCUUCCCCGUGGGUUGUAGAUUUUGAUCGAGAAAAAUGAGCAGCGGGGGAUAUGAGGGAGGACCCCUCGAACUUGGCGUCUCCAGCCUGCUCCGCCUUAGUAAAGUGUAUUUCGUUUGUGGCAAACGUAAAACAUGGUUGUUCAUUCACAGCAGAUCCGGGAAGGUCUGGGCACGGCUUCUUUUUCUUACCAUAACCAUCGGAGGCUCUGCUGGGAUGCUGAUCUCAACAAAGGAGCCGAGAGAGGUUUAAUUUGGACUCAGAGGGAGCUGGUGUUGGCAGAAGCCGGAGAGUGACUCUAAAUGGCAGUGGAAUCAGAUCCCUGUGGAGAGUUGCGGGUUUCUCAAGAAUGAAACCACAGACCUCAGCUUUCUGCUUCAUCCACUUCUUACGGAGCCUUUGGCUAGUCUGGACAGGAGGUUCCAGUCGUGGCACCAGGAGAGCUUUCAAGGAAGCAUCUGGGGGUGGUUCCUGAGGGAAUGAGCUCCUCGGCCUUGGUCCCAGAAUCUAUUUGGGAGGGGCGUGGACGUGGACAAAGAUGACAUGAGUCCUGGAGAUGGCAGUGAGGUAUGGGCGCCUGUCCCCCUCCCCUCCCGUGUACAGGGCUGUGUGCAGGCUCUGAGGACCUAUGGGCCACGGGGCUGCCUGAGGAGGGAGGUUUUACCCUCCUGUCCAGGAUGUAUGGGGAAAAGGUAAUCUGAUUAGUCGUACAGUCAGCCCAUUUUUUUGGUGGCUGGCUAAUUUUUGAACAUAUUUAUAGAUUUGGCAAAGGUUGAUCUGGGCCUUGAUCUAAUUCUCUGCCAUAUAGCUUUUGGAAAUUCAUUCUGAUGUGGUGGUCAGUGGUGUUCUAACCUGGCAGAACAAGUACCACCCAACUUUGUGUGUGAACUGCAAGAGAAGCAGUUCGAAGAUGGUUUCUAGUCAAAUGUCUGUGCCUUGGAGGCAUUAGCUUGAAGUGAAGCCAUCAGAUCUUUAUCCCCGUGGCUGUAGGUCCUUUGUUGGGUGCGGGAAGGGGACAAUGGGGAUAGGAGAAAGACUAGAUUGUUCUAGUUGCCUAAUGGGCAACUUCGUAGCUGUUUGUUCCUUCCAAGGGUCCAUCCGGAUGGGAGUGAGGGACCAACUUGGAGAUUCAGGCCUCGUCUCUGGAGUUAUCCACUGGCACGUCCUCCCCGCAAAUCUUUGUGUUUUAGAUUCAGACAGGAGCACAGUGCUGCUGUGUGACCACGGCCCUCCGUCUUCUGGUAUUUGGUAGCGAUGGUUGUCAUUCAUUGAUGUCCAUUUCUAUGUGAGCAUCAGGAGCCCCGCGUGUGAAAGUAGAAUGCGUGCCUGUGUCUAGUGGUCCCUUUGAAAAGUCCUGUGCAAAAACCAAAUCAGAGAAACCCCGAAACCUCUGAGGAGGAAGCCCGAGAGGUAGGCUGCAAGCAGCAAGUUACAUUCUGUGAUCUUGGAAAUUCGAUCUUGGAUGGGAUACAGAGAUAGGAGAGUGUGGUGGUUAAGCGCAUGGACCCUGCAGGCCAAGGAGACUGGGGUCUUCACUUUCCAUUUCACCUCUUAGCACCAACUGUUUGACCGCUGGCACAUGACUUUUCUUUUUUCUUUUCUUUUUUUUUUUGUCUUUUUGCCAUUUCUUGGGCCGCUUCUGUGGCAUGUGGAGGUUCCCAGGCUAGGGCUUGAAUCGGAGAUGCAGCUGCUGGCCUACACCACAGCCACAGACAGCAACAUCAGAUCUGAGCCGCGUCUGCAACCGACACCACCGCUCACGGCAACGCCAGAUCCUUAACCCACUGAGCCAGGCCAGGGAUUGAACCCGGAACCUCAUGGUUCCUAGUCGGAUUCUUUAACCACUGAGCCAUGACGGGGACUCCAUGAACUUCUUUAAGCCUCGGUGUCCUCAUCUGUAAAAGAGGCUGACAGCACCUACUUGGUAAGGAUAAUGGAAGGAUAAAAUAAAUAAUGCAGGUAAAGCUCUUGGCUGAGUGCCUGGCAUAUGGGAAGCGCUGGAGAGCUUUGUUGCUGUGUAUGCUGUGUAGUUCUCGGGGUUGCGGUAAUUGGCUGCCCGGUGUUCAUGGUUUUGGCUUUGCUGUCUGGGCGCCUUGAAUGUGCUCAGGCUGAAGUGACCUUACCCUUGGUUCUCCUCGGGGCAAUUAGAAGUAAGGUGGGGUUCCGACGGUCUCCGGACAAGCUGGGUUUCCCACCAAUGAAGGAGAGGCGAAUUCUGUCUUAUCAGACAUGAUGCUAGGGAAGGGCCCCACGCGGCUGGGUUUCAAAGCAAUAUGUUGUCCCCACCCUUCCACAGAGAGGUGACAGAAAUCUAGUUAGUGCAGAGUUACAGAGAAGCUGAGACUUCCCUGGGAGGCCGUUUUAGAUGUCUCCAUUCCUUCAGUUGGAACUGGGUUUUUACCUGUUGUGUGGUUACAACAACAACAACAACAAAUCUGCAACCACUCUUGCACAGAGGAUGGAAAGAAUGGCUUCUUACUAGAUACAGAAGCAGGGAUACUAGAUACAAAAACAGGCAAAGCACGUGAAGACCAACCAGGCUGCUUGUCGGUAGGUGGCAAAGUACUUUGCUAUAAAUAUUGCAGGACGACUCUUUCUCUACUUUAAAAAAAAAAAAAAAAAA